UACGAAGGGGGCUAGCGUUGUUCGGAAUCACUGGGCGUAAAGCGCACGUAGGCGGAUCUUUAAGUCAGAGGUGAAAUCCCAAGGCUCAACCUUGGAACUGCCUUUGAUACUGGGGAUCUUGAGUCCGGGAGAGGUGAGUGGAACUGCGAGUGUAGAGGUGAAAUUCGUAGAUAUUCGCAAGAACACCAGUGGCGAAGGCGGCUCACUGGCCCGGUACUGACGCUGAGGUGCGAAAGCGCGGGGAGCGAACAGG
rnacentral:rRNA from 1 species